rnacentral:rRNA from 1 species
UACAGAGGUCCCGAGCGUUGUUCGGAUUCACUGGGCGUAAAGGGUGCGUAGGUGGUGGGGUAAGUCUGAUGUGAAAUCUCUGAGCUCAACUCAGAAAUUGCAUUAGAAACUACCUUGCUAGAGGAUUGGAGGGGGGACUGGAAUUCUCGGUGUAGCAGUGAAAUGCGUAGAUAUCGAGAGGAACACCAGUGGCGAAGGCGAGUCCCUGGACAAUACCUGACACUGAGGCACGAAAGCUAGGAGAGCAAACGGG